rnacentral:rRNA from 1 species
UGCUCAGGACGAACGCUGGCGGCGUGCCUAAUACAUGCAAGUCGAGCGGACAGAAGGGAGCUUGCUCCCGGAUGUUAGCGGCGGACGGGUGAGUAACACGUGGGUAACCUGCCUGUAAGACUGGGAUAACUCCGGGAAACCGGAGCUAAUACCGGAUAGUUCCUUGAACCGCAUGGUUCAAGGAUGAAAGACGGUUUCGGCUGUCACUUACAGAUGGACCCGCGGCGCAUUAGCUAGUUGGUGGGGUAAUGGCUCACCAAGGCGACGAUGCGUAGCCGACCUGAGAGGGUGAUCGGCCACACUGGGACUGAGACACGGCCCAGACUCCUACGGGAGGCAGCAGUAGGGAAUCUUCCGCAAUGGACGAAAGUCUGACGGAGCAACGCCGCGUGAGUGAUGAAGGUUUUCGGAUCGUAAAGCUCUGUUGUUAGGGAAGAACAAGUGCGAGAGUAACUGCUCGCACCUUGACGGUACCUAACCAGAAAGCCACGGCUAACUACGUGCCAGCAGCCGCGGUAAUACGUAGGUGGCAAGCGUUGUCCGGAAUUAUUGGGCGUAAAGGGCUCGCAGGCGGUUUCUUAAGUCUGAUGUGAAAGCCCCCGGCUCAACCGGGGAGGGUCAUUGGAAACUGGGAAACUUGAGUGCAGAAGAGGAGAGUGGAAUUCCACGUGUAGCGGUGAAAUGCGUAGAGAUGUGGAGGAACACCAGUGGCGAAGGCGACUCUCUGGUCUGUAACUGACGCUGAGGAGCGAAAGCGUGGGGAGCGAACAGGAUUAGAUACCCUGGUAGUCCACGCCGUAAACGAUGAGUGCUAAGUGUUAGGGGGUUUCCGCCCCUUAGUGCUGCAGCUAACGCAUUAAGCACUCCGCCUGGGGAGUACGGUCGCAAGACUGAAACUCAAAGGAAUUGACGGGGGCCCGCACAAGCGGUGGAGCAUGUGGUUUAAUUCGAAGCAACGCGAAGAACCUUACCAGGUCUUGACAUCCUCUGACAACCCUAGAGAUAGGGCUUUCCCUUCGGGGACAGAGUGACAGGUGGUGCAUGGUUGUCGUCAGCUCGUGUCGUGAGAUGUUGGGUUAAGUCCCGCAACGAGCGCAACCCUUGAUCUUAGUUGCCAGCAUUCAGUUGGGCACUCUAAGGUGACUGCCGGUGACAAACCGGAGGAAGGUGGGGAUGACGUCAAAUCAUCAUGCCCCUUAUGACCUGGGCUACACACGUGCUACAAUGGACAGAACAAAGGGCUGCAAGACCGCAAGGUUUAGCCAAUCCCAUAAAUCUGUUCUCAGUUCGGAUCGCAGUCUGCAACUCGACUGCGUGAAGCUGGAAUCGCUAGUAAUCGCGGAUCAGCAUGC